rnacentral:rRNA from 1 species
GUAGGGAAUAUUGGGCAAUGGAGGCAACUCUGACCCAGCCAUGCCGCGUGCAGGAUGACGGCCCUCUGGGUUGUAAACUGCUUUUAUACGGGAAGAAAAAAUACUACGUGUAGUAUACUGACGGUACCGUAAGAAUAAGGAUCGGCUAACUCCGUGCCAGCAGCCGCGGUAAUACGGAGGAUCCAAGCGUUGUCCGGAUUUAUUGGGUUUAAAGGGUGCGUAGGCGGAUCUUUAAUUCAGUGGUGAAAGCCUGCAGCUUAACUGUAGAAUUGCCAUUGAAACUGAAGAUCUUGAAUGUGGUUAAAGUAGGCGGAAUGUAUCAUGUAGCGGUGAAAUGCUUAGAUAUGAUACAGAACACCGAUAGCGAAGGCAGCUUGCUGAACCAUUAUUGACGCUGAGGCACGAAAGCGUGGGGAGCGAACAGGAUUAGAAACCCUAGUAGUCC